rnacentral:rRNA from 1 species
AUGCAAAACGCCGAAGGGAUAAGAUAUCCCCGAUCCUUAUCUCGUGCUUGUGACUCUGACCAUGGCAAACCACUGCCGUUCGUACAGUUACUAUUCCCUGUGGGGAAUUUUUCUAGCCGUCAUCUCCAUUGGUGGUCGGGAACUCCAGUCAGAUGGCACCGCGCCGGGAGGCCCAGGGCCGAGGACCGCCGACGCCGGGAGUCUCCGCUCGCCUCUGGCUGUUGCGGGAGGCUACCUUCGCGCCGAGCAGAACCAGGCCGACGGCCAUGGUUGGUAGCUGGCGUCGCCGUGCUGCGAGAGCGCUGCCGCCAUAGACGGCUGUACCGAGGAAGACCGCGGAUGCGGGCACCACCGUUGGCGUCCAGGAGAAGGGGAGGGAGGGGCGAGGCCACGCCAUGCGUCCAAGGUCGCGUCGCAUCGCCGAUCGCACCGUCGCGCCGUGCAGGGCACCGGCUGUAG